AAUCUGCAAAACUGCAGAUUUUCAGCUCUCGGGGACCGGUCCCUGAAGGGAGAGACCGGUCCCCGAACGCGUAUGAAAUGAGACAGCCGAAAAAUCGGCUAAGUCCUGGAAGAUGAGCUCUCGGGAACCGGUCUCUGUCUGAGAGACCGGUCCCCCAGAGACCGGUCCCACAAGGAGAGACCGGUUGCUCUGCGCGCAGCAGCUCUGGCUGCGCUGGGACAACGUUCGGGAACCGGUCCCUGCUCGGGGAGACCGGUCCCUGUCUGCGCGGAAUGCCCAGUUCGGGCAGUGUAUUAAAGUGAAAGUUGAGGGGUUUAGCUGCAAUUUUGCAACCCAAUAGCUAUGUAUUGAGGGUAAAUGAGAUAUUUCUCUCAUUUCACCCCUCUCACACUCUCUUCUCUCCCUCUCUCUCUCUAGAAGACAAAAGAGAAGAAGAAGAAAGGAAGAAGAAAAGGAAAAGAAGAGGAAGAAAGUGGAGAAGAAGAAGAAGAAGUGAAGAAACUCCUUCCCCUUCAUCUCUAGCUUGAAGAAAAGGAAAGCUUUGAGGUAAGCUUCAACCCUAAUGUAGUAAAACCCUAGAAAUGGGUUUGAAUGAACCUAGAAAUGGUUUUUAAUGGAAUGAUUGAAGAGUUUUGAAGCUUUCUUUUGCUUCUUUAAAGAUCAAAACCUAGAUUUGCUAUAGAGGUGAGCUUGGACCACCUCUAAUGGUGGAAUCUAAUCUAGGGUUUUGGAAAGCCUAAAAAUGGUUCUAAUGGAUUAUUUAGAGUAUAAUGAAGCUACUUUUGCUUCCCAAAGAGAUCAAACCCUAGGUUUUGAUAUACAUUGGAGCUAGGGCACCCAAAUUGGGGCUUUUGCUCAUGAGGGUUUCUAAGUGCAAUUGACCCUCUAAGAACCUAAUUGGGGGUAUUUCCGACGCGUUGGUGCGCUCGGAUUAACGUUACGAAAAGUCAAAGUAAAGUUAUGAGCAAAAUGGCCUAAUAAGGGUUCGUUUUGCCGCAGGUAAAGAACGAAGCAUCUAAAAAUCCCAAGAAAAUCGUCGGGGCACCUUUGAAAGCCUACAAGGUGGGUGGUGCUUUCCAAACUCAUUGAAAUUCUCUCUAUGCCUAAUGUGUCAUUCUUUGAGCAUAUGUUUUAUAUAUUGUUGCAUGCAUUUUAGGGUAAAGUUAUGAUGAAAUGUGAUGAUUGCAUGAUUGUGAGUACAACUUGCAUAAUGAGAUGGUUGAGAACCUAAUAAUGUCAAAAACCCUAGAUGUAUGCAUGAGAGAAAAUGUGAGCACCCAAAGUGAGCAAAAGAACCGAGUGGCACAUGACAUAGAUCGAGUGGCAUCCAGAUAAUGUAAAGUAAACUGACACUAGAGUUAGCGUGAAGCAAAGAAUCGAAGUGAUAUAAAGAAUGAUAAAGAUCACUAAAGUUAGAGCAAAGAGAGCAAUAAAGAACGUAUAAAGAGUAACGAAUGUGCAAAGUUGAAGUAAAGUGGGGCAAUAAGAACGAGAAAUGUAAAGAACACAAUUGCUAGAGUUAGCAAAAGUAAAAGGAAUGUAAGGAACGUGAUUGCAUGAGUUUGCAACUUAAAGUGAUGUAAAGAACACUAGAGCUAGUGUAAAGUCAAGAUUGAACUAUAAUCCUUUGAGUUAAGGAUAUGAUCACACUUGCUAUUGAGUUCCGUGCUCGAGGGCGGUCGCUCCCCCUCGGGCGAUGCGCUCCGGAGUUAUGCAUCCGGGUUGGAGUAGACCCGUAAGGACGGUCCUAGCUGGUGAGUUCCUGCGAUGAUGGACUUAAUGUGAAGCAAGUUAAAGUGGCGAAACCCCCGGGCUAGCCUUAAUGAUUAAAGAACAAAGAACAAAGAACAAAGUGUAAAGUGUAAAGAACGAAAGAACAUGCAUAACCUGCAUCUAUUUAAUGUUGAGCAUAUUCCUUGCUUUUGUUCAGGCAUAUUAGCAUCAUGUUAUAGUUUGGCUACUAAAUCUUACUUAUCCUUUCUAUUAUGCCUGAGUUAGUCCUAGUGGGAAAGUCGGUGAUGUUAAGGGUGCCGAACCCCUGGGAACUUUGUUGUAGUUCUACCCCACUAUUUCCCAGAGCCGGGACCGAGCGAGCCGGCGAGCGACCGCGGUAAAGGUAUCGCGCCUUAGUCAGAGGCCACCAGUUGGGUUACAUUUUGUAGUAAAGUUACUUUAUGAUCAUCUUUGUAUUUGAUGAUUUAGUGAUGUAAAGAAAAGGAUGUAAAGCUUAUUUUGAGGAAAAUGUGAUGUAAGAAAGAAAUGAUGAAGUUAUGUAAUGGAAUGCAAAGAAUUCAAAAUUACUAGAUGAAUGCAAUGUAUAUGAUCCAAAAUGAAUCAUGUUACUUGUGAAUGUUUGGUUUCCUUUUUCUUUCACUGAUGGCUGUCGCUUACCUUCGAGUAAGCCGUUUGUGUAUGUUUCCGCUAGUGCUUUUCUCUAUUGAUGAAAAUGUACAUGUGAUGAGCCUUGGGCGGAUAGGGAAAACUCUGUCCGUUCGGCGUCUGUUUGACGUGGUCGGGUCGGGCCAAAUUGGCAUCUGUCCCGGGCGUGAACAUUUAUUCAUGCCAUAACUCAUAGGGAGUUGAAGGAACUGACUUAGAGAGCACUCGGUUAAGUAUAUAGGCAGCAGUCACAACGCAUCACCCCAAAAACUAAUUGGACGUUGGCUUGCGCCAUCGUUGACCUAACCAUUUCCAAAGUGUCCUAUUCCUCCUCUCUGCAACACCAUUUUGUUGUGGAGUACGGGAAUAGUUAACUGUCUGCGUAUUCCCUUUUCCUCACAUAGUUCCCUGAACUGGUCUGAUAAAUACUCUCGUCCUCUAUCAGUACGUAGAACUUUUAGAGUUCUUUCUGUUUGGUUCUCAAUCUCCACUAAGAAGCGUUUAAAAUAAUCUAAAGCUUCUGAACGGUAAGACAACAGAUAUACCGAACUAUAACGGGAGUAGUCUCAAUGAAAGUGAGGAAAUAGUACGUGCCAUGACGUGCUCUCACAUUCAUAGGUCCGCAAUAUGUUGAAUGAACUAGCUCCAAUGAUGAGUUCUCUAACGUGCCUUACCAAAAGGCUUUCUGCAGGCUUUUCCUACUAAACAUUGUUUACAAGGAGGUAGGCUAAGCUUAGCGAGUGACCCCAACAGGCCUUCUCUAGCUAGUCGAGCCAUUAUUUCUUGUCCAAUGUGACCCAAUCUCGCAUGCCAUUUGAUAGAAUCAGAUACAAUAUCAGAAGAAACUAAUAAAGCAGAAUUAUUGUUAUGAUUAAUAAAAUCCAAGUCCAAAUCUAAGACAAAGAAAUCAUUCUUUAAACAACCAUUACCAUAAAAGUCCUUGCCCAAAUAAAUAGCUAACUGAGUAUCCGUAAAUUGAAAAGAAAAACCUAAUCUAAGUAACGCUAAAACUGAUAAUAGAUUACAUCGGAUGUUCGGUGCAUACAGCACAUCAUGUAAUAUCAAAUAACGACCAUUGUGCAAUCUAAGUUGGUGUGCGCCAAUUCCAAGGACUUCUUCCUCAGUGCCGUUUUCCAUCAUGACAUAAUGGCUGCUAGCAGACACCCGACGAUAAUCCACAUAUCCGGCUCGAUCUCUCGUUACAUGCUUUGUUGCUCCUGUGUCUACAAUCCAAUCAGAGAGAGCAUGAGCAACAAAAACGUGCGAGCAUACAUAAAUAAGAGAGUCAGGAUUGGGAUUUACCUUCUUCGGCUCAGUGCAAUCACGAGCGAAGUGUCCCAUGUUUCCACAGUUACAGCAUUUCACUUUAUUUAAAUUUUUCUUCCCGCGCCUGCCUUUGCGACGCUUUUCAAUUCCGCUCUUAUUUGGCGCGCAGUUCCCAGUUUUUGCAUAUUUAUUUUCUCCAUUUCAGUGCUUGUGCUUAGGCCACUUGCCUCUGCGCUGUCCACCGUGGGCAACGAGUGCACUGGCACAGUUCGCCUCUCUGCGCUCCGCUUCUAACUCAAGAUGUCGAGCUAUAUCGUUGAAGGUCUUAAUACCUUCAUUAUGAGUCAGCACAACCUUGAUUUGAUCCCAAGAUGAAUCUGGUAAGAACCUUAUAACUGAUUGAACCUGUUGUUCAUCAGUGAGCUCGCAACCGGCUGCUUUAAGUUCUCUUAUCAUAGCAAACAUUACCCUUAAGUGCUCUGCCAUAGAAUGCUUCGAGUCCAUCAUAUAUUGAUUGAAUUUGAGAUUCAAGGCACGAAGCCUUGUGGUCGACGUGCCCCUAUAUUUCACUUUGAGCUGCUCCCACAUAUUUUUAGCAGUCUCAUAAUUAUCAAAUUCUUUGAUCAAAUCAUCGUGCAUACAGCUCAACAUUGUAUAGCGUGCACUUCGAUCUUUCUAAAGCCACUCGUUAUAGGCUUGCAAAUCGCGACGGUGCUAAGCCGUCGUGCCUUCUUCAGGCCGAACCAUACUGUUGGUUAACUGGCUAAGUAUCCCUUUCUCAUUUAGUUAUCUAAUGCAGAUUAAAAUAAUAUAUCAAAUUAAUCAAGAAUAAAUCAACAUCACAAAUUGAACAUUACGCAAUUUAAACAAAAAUAAUGCAUUGCAACUUGAAAAGUGUCAUCACAUGUAUCAUAGACAAUAUAUUAAAUAUUAGUUUGCACAAAUUAAAAUAAAAUAAUUAGUGUUGUUGGUUACUUGAAACAAUCUUGGAGCUUACAAGUUGAGGUUGAGGGUUCAAAUCCUGCUGCCAACAAUUACCUCUUUUUUUUAUCUUAAUUUUAAAUACAUCUUAAUUUUAAAUACAUAGGCACGGGUUGGGCUUGAGGGCUGAGCUCGGCCCAUAGUGCAAGUUGCGACCGCAGCCCACUAUACUAGGUGCACCAAUGUGCUUGGGCCCUUGCGGGCCCAAGCAUGUGGACUGGGCUUAGAGCUCAACCUACAUACUAUGGCCCCUACGGGCCCCGUACAGGCAAUCUAGACUCACAUGAGUCCAAGUGCAGAAGUAGGCUUAAUCUUGUGGCUUGGACCCCCGUAGGCCCAGCACACAUGCAGGUCCCCGCAGGCCCAACAUGCGGGCUUGGCUCCGACGCAGCCAAUUGCGCGGGUGAGCCAUCAGGCCUAGCAUGCAUACGGCCCAAUCGCCAAGUAGGCCUCAUCUGGCAUGACUCACAAACAAGCCAAUGUGCGGAUGUACAUUAACAGGUCCUUGCACCAGCGGGUUAAUUUGCUUAGAUCAAGGAAGCAUACAUAUGUGAUGUUGAUCUACCAAUUGCGACUCAAAACUUCACCAAUUAUUAUUUUUAUAUUUUUUUAACAGAAAAAAAUUCAAGCCCAAAUUUCAAGCCUUUCGUGAGAGGUUACCGUUGGCCCGGCGCGUGUGGGCCAUGCGGGCGCGAUGCGGGCAGGCUCGGGGGGAAUCUGCAUGCUCAAUAGAGGCGGGCCUGCACGCCCAUAGGGGGCAGUCCAUGCUGGCCCGUAAUGGGCAUGUGCCUCGCUAGCCCGCAGGCCCAGUACGGGCGGGCGCGCGCAGGCCUACUGCACAAAUUCGGCCCUGCAGGCCUUUUAGAUGCAUAUUAGGCUCAUGCAUAGCCCAUCCGGCGGGUUGAUUUGCGCACCCUUGUGCGCAGGCUGAACUCGUAGGUGGAUCACCUCUCAUACAGUCUAUGAUGCACCUCUAAACUUGCGCGGAGUUUGUUGAUUGCGACUCAAAAUUAGCCGGUUUGAUUUUAAUUUUUUAAAAACUUAAAAACAUAUUUGAUGUUAAAAAAAACGAAUCAUUGAGCGAAAACAAGCACUAUAUAGCUCAGAUACCACUGUUGGAUAAAAUAAUUAAAUAUCCAAAAAUAUAAGUCGCAAAAAUUACAUAGAUUUUUACAUACCUUUUUUGUUGCAGAAUGUAUUACGAUUAUCAGAAUCGAAUCUCGUCUCGUUUUACGAACUCGAUGAUCCGCUAAUGUCCUGUCUCAAUUUGUUGCACGUUGUUCUUACUUGUUGCAAUCCGGCUACUAGAGACGAUCGCCGCACACCUCCCAAAUCCCUAGAGUUUAUGAUGGUGCCCUAGAGCGAACCCAAGAGAGAAUUUUUUGUGGAGAGAUGAUUCUUAUUUUUCUCCUUUUUUUGUAUGCGGUCAAUACCUCAUAUAUUUAUAAGCCAUAAGAGAGACGUUAAUUCUAAUCAUAUUCUGAGUAAAUCUCACAUAGAUAAAGAUUUAAACAGAUUAGGAUUUAUCUGUUAGAUUUAUUCCUUAUCCCAUGCGGAUUAGAAUAUAACAAAUAAUUACAAAUAUUUAUUUCUUAUCCCAUAUGGAUUAGAAAUAUUUUAGAUAAGUCCCAAUGUGGACGAAUCCUAACAAUAAUAAAUUACUUUUAUUAUAUUUAAAUUUAAUUAGAAUUUGGAAAAGAAAAUUGCAUUAUAUUUCAAAUAUUCUUUUAUGUAGUAUACUUUAUAUCGAAUUUAUUGUGAAAUAUUAGUUACAUUUUAUCUCAAAUUUAACUAUUUUUUUUUCACUAUUCUAUACUAUUUUAUAAAACUAACUUAAUACAAUUUCAGUUAUUUUUUAGAAUAGAGAAUUAUGAAUGAAACACAAUUUUAUUUUAUUUCCAACAAUUUUAAAAUAGUAAUUUAUUCUAGGAGUAAAAAAAAUAUCUUAAUAUUUAUCGUACCCGAACAGAACCGAGCCUAUAUUAAAGUAUAAACAAAGUUCAAAUCCCCAUAACCCAAAGGAUGGCAGCCAGCUGGGUUACUGUUACUAGAUAGCCGGCAGAUGUUUUUCGGAUUUCUUUUAUUGUUCUGUUCCAGAAAAAUACAUGCCAACUUAACACGGCAAUUAAAAAUGAGAUUUAAUUAGGAGCGGGAGAUAAGGGGAUGAGAACCUGAUAAGUUAUGGAAUCUAAAUCCUAAUCAGCUAAAGAUAAAAUUACUAUUGACGGAGAAAUGUUAUGCGAAUAAUUAAACAGCAACAACAAUUCUAAAUUUUCGUGUUUGUUAAAAAAGAAAAAAAGAAAAAAAAUAGUCAGCUGAAGAGGCGACUAGAAGUGAGAAGAGGCUAGAGGAUUUUUUUUUUUUGAGAGAGAUUAGGUAGCACGCUAGCCGAUUCGUUUGUUUUAUUUAAAAAUAAACUUAGUUUGAAAUUAAUGUGAAUCAAUUAGGAUUCGAACUUGGAAUCUCAGAUAUCAACCACCAAAUUCUUUUGCCACUUGCUCGAGGGACGGUCGGUAAGAGGCUAGAGGAUUAGAAGAACUUUCUUUAGGUUAAUUCGUGGAAUCUAAAUCCUACCUAUUUAUACAUGUCAGCUAAAAGAGUGGGAGAGGGGACGGGGGGAAUAAACGAAUGCAGUUAAUUAGAGCAUCCAACACCCAUCAUCCAAAGUAACUUUACGACCUCUUGACUCUCUCCCUUGCUGGGAUUGUUAAUUGUACCCCCUGUGGUGGUGGAGCCCUCCACUGUCUCCCACUACUCCGCGUGGCCACGUACGAGUGGUGGGUGAGGUGAGGUCGGGUGGGGUGGGGUGGGGUGGGGUGGUGAGUCAUGAGCGAGAGCGAGUGGUAGAGCGGACAAAUCCAAGCUCAUGUGAAGAAGAAGAACGUCAGAGUAUUCCCACCAGAUUGAUUUAUCUACCGACCGAGACAACUAAGCUAACCAUCCUCUUUUUAAUUUCGUUUUUGGCCUAAAAUAUAGGCUUUCCUCCUAUCGGGAGUCGGAACACCCCCACCUGGGCUCUGCGACUGCCUGGCGCACUCUCCCACGCAAUCCAACUCGGAUCGUACCACCACCCUCGUGCCCAUUAAUCUCGCAGAUCCCGAGUUUCUUACUUUACUAGUCGUAGAGGGGCUUUUUUUGCAUUUAGAUCCCUGACAAAUUUUUAUUUUAAAAAUAGCUCUGUCAAAAUUUAAUUUGUAAAAAUGAUUCUGAGCCUGCCACGCAGGCGCCACGUCAGCGCCACGCGGGCAGGACUGGGCCCGUGUAUUAAGUUGAACACGGUGAACCAUUCACCGUGUUCAAACACGGUGAAUGGUUCACCGUGUUUAGUACGUAUUUUUUUUUACGUAUAUUGAAAAGUGGAAUAAGGAGUAGGGAUGUCAAUAGAUAUGGAUAUCCGAAAUAUUAUCCGAAUCCAAACCCGAAUAAAUUAUAUAUAUACGUAAUUUAUUUUUGUUUAUUUAUACAAUAUAUAAAAUAUUUAAUAAUUUUUAUUUCUUAGAUCUUCAUCCAACCUAGCGGGUUUUAAAAAUCUAUACCGUUGGAUGAAGAUCUAAGGAAUAAAAAUUAUUGAUAUAUUUAUAUAUUGUAUAAAUAAAUAAAAAUAAAUUAUGUAUAUAUAUAUAAUUUAUUCGGAUUUGGAUUCGGAUAAUAUUUCGGAUAUCCAUAUCUAUUGACAUUCCUACUCCUUAUUCCACUUUUUAAUAUACAAAAAAAUACGUACUAAAUACAGUAAACCAUUCACCGUGUUUAGACACGGUGAAUGAUUUACCGUGUUCAACUUAAUACCCUGGCCCCAGCCCUGCCCACGUGGCGCUGACGUGGCGCCUGCGUGGCAGAGGCAGGGCCAUUUUUGUAAUUUUAAUUUUGAUAGGGCUAUUUUUAAAAUAAAAAUUGCUCAAGGGGCUAUUUGCAAAAAAACCCCGUCGUAGAGUGCUGGUUAAAUUAAGCAGGUGCAGCUGCAUUAAAUCUAGCCGAACUAUAAUUUUUUAUUUAAUUUGAUUUGUCUAGUUUUUGAAGUUUAGGUUUUUGUUAUGUAAUUUUGAUUCUAUUUUGUCCCGAAUAUAUAUAUUCAUUCAUUUUCAGCUAAACUGAAAAAGAAUUCUUAUUAAUUGAAAUGAACUGAAUUUUUAGGAAUUGAUGAAAGCACAUAGGUUGUUAAUUAAAUUGAUGAGAAUCAUUCUAAUAGCUACUUUUUCCUCUACAAAAUUGAUGUGCUUGGGUUAUUCAAUUGGUUUGAUUCCACGAUCUCACAAAAGAACACACCUAUUAAAAGCACGGGAUAAUUGUCUAUAUACUUCUCAAAAUUUCAAAAAUAUCUCAUUUACCUGCACUUUUUUUUUCUUUUCAAUAUAUCUCUUAUAUGUUCCUCCGUUAUUCCAAAAUACCCUGCAGUUACCACUCGUUAAGUUAACUUAGGUUAAACAUAUAUUAAAUAUUUACCACAAUUAAAAAAAAUUUAAAAUAUCAAUUUUGCCCUUAAUUUAAGGGCAAAUAAGAAAUGUUGAUGACGGUAGAGGAGUAUAUUUGAAAAGACCAAAAGUCAAAAUACUUUUUGUACCCCUGACUUAAGGGCAAAUAAGAAAAGUCGCUGAUGGUGGAAGGGUAUAUUUAAAAGGUCAAAAUAGUAAUUUUAUACAGAUAACAGAGUUCAUUAACAGAUUUAACUCAAGAGCUAUAUUUGAAAUAAGUUGGAACGUAAAAAGGGUAUUUUCAAUAUUAGCCUUCUAAGAGAGCUAAAUUAUAAAGUCAGUAGCUUUUCAGAGGUAUAUAAGUAAUUGCCCCUAAAAGCAAAUACUGCUGCCAAAUAUUACAAUUAGGGUGCGUUUAGUUCGCGCUAUCUUUUUAAGAUUCCUAAUAAUCCAAUAGAAAUAAAAAAAAUAUGGCGGUGUUUGGCUAAACCCACUAAAUAAUCUAGUUGGUAAUAUUAGAUUUACUUGGGAAUGAGAUUCAUCCCAAAGUACUAAUCUGAUUCCCUUGAGGGAGGGUGGGUAUCCUCAUACUAAUGGAUUGAGAUAAUCAUAAUAUAUCUAAUCUCUUUCUUUCUCUCUAUAUACCCGUCGGUUAUUUGGUAUUAUUUUUUUUACACUCUAACCUUAUAUCUCUCUCUAAACUUAUAUUUUUCUCUCUAAACUUCAACUAUUUUUCUCUCUCUAAACUAAGCUUUCUCUCCCCCUCUUAUUCUAAAAUCUCAACUCUCUCACUUCCUCUAACCUCAACUCAUUUCUCUUUCUAUUUCUUUAAUUAUACUCUCUCUCUCUCUCUAACAUCGACUCUAUUUCUAUUUCUACUUCUUUAAUUAUACUCUCUCUCUCUCUAACCUAUGUUUUCUCUCUCUUUUUUCAAAAAGGAUGUUGAAAUUUUUGGUACCAUUAUCUAAAAUUAAUUAAAGAAAUAAAUGAAUUGAUUGUAUAUUUUUUGUAAUCUUUAAUAAUAGGACUAAAUAAUACGAUCGUGCGAACAAAACAUAGAAAUAUCAUAUUCUUGGUAAUAGGAUGAAUAAGAAUAAGAUUUUCGGGCAUUUUUUUUAUUUCUAAUAAUUUUUUAUAGUGCGAACCAAACUCACCCUUAAAGUAUUAUCAAAUAGCUCAACCAAAUCUAAUUAAAAAAAU
rnacentral:lncRNA from 1 species